rnacentral:rRNA from 1 species
CGGGGGGGGGUGCUAAUACAUGCAGUCGAGCGGACAGAUGGGAGCUUGCUCCCUGAUGUUAGCGGCGGACGGGUGAGUAACACGUGGGUAACCUGCCUGUAAGACUGGGAUAACUCCGGGAAACCGGGGCUAAUACCGGAUGGUUGUCUGAACCGCAUGGUUCAGACAUAAAAGGUGGCUUCGGCUACCACUUACAGAUGGACCCGCGGCGCAUUAGCUAGUUGGUGAGGUAACGGCUCACCAAGGCGACGAUGCGUAGCCGACCUGAGAGGGUGAUCGGCCACACUGGGACUGAGACACGGCCCAGACUCCUACGGGAGGCAGCAGUAGGGAAUCUUCCGCAAUGGACGAAAGUCUGACGGAGCAACGCCGCGUGAGUGAUGAAGGUUUUCGGAUCGUAAAGCUCUGUUGUUAGGGAAGAACAAGUGCCGUUCAAAUAGGGCGGCACCUUGACGGUACCUAACCAGAAAGCCACGGCUAACUACGUGCCAGCAGCCGCGGUAAUACGUAGGUGGCAAGCGUUGUCCGGAAUUAUUGGGCGUAAAGGGCUCGCAGGCGGUUUCUUAAGUCUGAUGUGAAAGCCCCCGGCUCAACCGGGGAGGGUCAUUGGAAACUGGGGAACUUGAGUGCAGAAGAGGAGAGUGGAAUUCCACGUGUAGCGGUGAAAUGCGUAGAGAUGUGGAGGAACACCAGUGGCGAA